rnacentral:rRNA from 1 species
UAGGGAAUUUUCCACAAUGCCCGCAAGGGUGAUGGAGCGACGCCGCGUGAGGGAUGAAGGUCUUCGGAUUGUAAACCUCUUUCGUUUGGGAAUAAGGUUUUGGCACUAACAUUGCCAAAAUUUGACGGUACCGAAGGAAGAAGCUACGGCUAACUCUGUGCCAGCAGCCGCGGUAAUACAGAGGUAGCGAACGUUGUCCGGAUUUACUGGGCGUAAAGGGCUUGUAGGUGGCCAAAUAAGUCAGUUGUGAAAUCGUUCUGCUCAACAGAACAAUUGCUUGUGAUACUGCUUGGCUUGAGUGCAGGAAGGGAAAAUGGAAUUUCCGGUGUAGCGGUGAAAUGCGUAGAUAUCGGAAAGAACACCUGUGGCGAAGGCGGUUUUCUGGCCUGCAACUGACACUGAGGAGCGAAAGCUAGGGGAGCAAACAGG